rnacentral:lncRNA from 1 species
GAAAAAGAGACAGAACCCAAACAAAUACAUCCCUAAUGGAAGACCAUGGCAUAGAGAAGGAGAGGCUGGAAUGACACUUACUUACGACCCAACUACAGCUGCUAUACAGAACGGAUUUUAUCCUUCACCAUACAGUAUUGCUACAAACCGAAUGAUCACUCAAACUUCUAUUACACCCUAUAUUGCAUCUCCUGUAUCUGCCUACCAGGUGGCAAAGGAAACCAGAGAAAACAAGUAUCGGGGCUCUGCUAUCAAGGUGCAAAGUCCUUCGUGGAUGCAAC